rfam:Methanobrevibacter filiformis strain DSM 11501 MBFIL_contig000227, whole genome shotgun sequence.
GCCUCAGUGGCUCAGCUGGUAGAGCGAUACCUUGGUAAGGUAUAGGUCGGGGGUUCGAAUCCCCCCUGAGGCU